ACCUGCACUCUACUGCUUACUA
rnacentral:miRNA from 9 species